UUUCACUUUUCACUGAUCCAAAGGAGGUCACGUGGGAUUGCUUGAAAAUGGCGAAACGAAACUUGUGAAUCGUGCAUUUGCUCUUCUUGGUAGCUGCCAGAAAAUCGAAUCAAGCUUAUGGGACACUGGAUUACAGGUUGCUGCCACUACUCCAUGUGCCCGCAAUUGUCUUGCGUGUAUGAUUACACUAACGGCGUCGCCCACCACGGCGGAAGUGUUUUGCGUACACGCGUUUCAGCAUGAAGCCUGCAGGUGGACGUAAAUUGUAGAAGGCAGCUAGUGGGGGAGAAGAUCAUGGUCAUAGGUCAUGUGACUCCUGGAGCUCCCAGUGGGCUCCCUUGUGGAGUACUUUUCAGAACACACACACAUACAGUUUGCUCACAGAACCAACGAGUAGGAUGUUGCUUGAAUACUGAGAGAAAAUGGCGUAACACAUACAAAUAUCGUGUGACACAUAUGACAAUAAAAACAUUUUUCACGAGGGAUGCAUGAAACACU